GGCUGUGUGGUGUAGUGGUUUGGAUGUUGGACUAGACUCAAGAAGAUCAGGGUUUGAAUCUCUGCACAGUCA